CCUACGGGAGGCUGCAGUGAGGAAUAUUGGUCAAUGGUCGCGAGACUGAACCAGCCAAGCCGCGUGAGGGAUGAAGGUACAGUGUAUUGUAAACCUCUUUUGUCAGAGGACAAACACCGGUACGUGUCUCCGGUUGAGAGUAUCUGACGAAUAAGCAUCGGCUAACUCCGUGCCAGCAGCCGCGGUAAUACGGAGGAUGCGAGCGUUAUCCGGAUUUAUUGGGUUUAAAGGGUGCGCAGGCGGUUUGAUAAGUUAGAGGUUAAAUGCCGGGGCUCAACCCCGAGACCGCCGUUAAGACUGGCGGACUAGAGAAGAGGAGCGGUAGGCGGAAUGUAUGGUGUAGCGGUGAAAUGCAUAGAGAUCACACAGAACACCGAUUGCGAAGGCAGCAUACCAACU
rnacentral:rRNA from 1 species